UUUAAAGAAAAAAGGUCCUGGUUCAGAAA
rnacentral:piRNA from 1 species